rnacentral:rRNA from 1 species
GGGUGCGGAACACGUGUGCAACCUACCUUUAUCUGGAGGAUAGCCUUUCGAAAGGAAGAUUAAUACUCCAUAAUAUAUUGACUGGCAUCAGUUGGUAUUGAAAGCUCCGGCGGAUAAAGAUGGGCACGCGCAAGAUUAGCUAGUUGGUGAGGUAACGGCUCACCAAGGCGAUGAUCUUUAGGGGGCCUGAGAGGGUGAUCCCCCACACUGGUACUGAGACACGGACCAGACUCCUACGGGAGGCAGCAGUGAGGAAUAUUGGUCAAUGGGUGCAAGCCUGAACCAGCCAUCCCGCGUGAAGGACGACGGCCCUAUGGGUUGUAAACUUCUUUUGUAUAGGGAUAAACCUCUCCACGUGUGGAGAGCUGAAGGUACUGUACGAAU